CACGCACACACGCGCGGCAUAUCAAUAAGCGGAGGAAAAGAAACUAACAAGGAUUCCCCUAGUAACGGCGAGUGAAGCGGGAAGAGCUCAAAUUUGAAAUCUUAAAGGGUUUCCCUUUACGAAUUGUAGUUUAAAGAAGUGUUUUCUGUUGGAGUUUCGGUAAAAGUUCUUUGGAAUAGGACAUCAUAGAGGGUGAGAAUCCCGUAUUUGAUCGUUACUUUCCAGCUGUGUGAUACACUUUCAAAGAGUCGGAUUGUUUGGGAAUGCAGUCCAAAAUGGGUGGUAAAUUUCAUCUAAAGCUAAAUAUUGGCGAGAGACCGAUAGCGAACAAGUACCGUGAGGGAAAGAUGAAAAGAACUUUGAAAAGAGAGUUAAACAGUACGUGAAAUUGUCAAAAGGGAAGCGUUUGACACCAGUGUUGUUUAGUUGAAAAUCAAUUCAAUAAUUUUUGAUUUUGAGUAGUAUUGACUUCAUCAGCUUGCUGCUUUCUUUUCGGAAAUUAUUGAAUGCACUUUUCAGUUAACAAGUCAACAUCAAUUUCUUUUGUUGUAAAAGGGUAAGAGGAAGGUGGCUUACGCUUCGGCGUAAGUGUUUAUAGCCUUUUACCUCUGCAAUCGGAGAGAUUGAGGACAGCAGCGUAGACUCUUCGGGGUUAGAUACACUUGUGCUAAGCUAUAGCCUUGUAUAGACAACUUGUUGACUAUGCUCAGUCAUGUAGCUUACUCGCUUGUGCUAUUUUACCUACGCUUAGGAUGUUGAUAGUCACAGCGUGUAC
rnacentral:rRNA from 1 species